GCCUCGACCCACCAGCCGUGGAGGCCAUGGCGACGGCUCAAGCAGCAGCAGCGGGAGAUGGACGACCUCCUCCGCUGCGCCCUGGACGUCGACCUCACCCGUCUCCCUUUUAUAACUAUAAGGAGCUCAUGCUUCUAUUGCCCCCCACCGUGUGUGCCAGGGGUCGGAUGCGCCGCUGGUCGGCGCGCACCGAGAUGGCCAUCCCCAUCCCAGAGAAAGUGGAAAAGAGAGGUGGGGGAGGUGAUUGCGUGCAUGGCCAACAACAGGGGUGUUGCCUCCUAAUACCUUUCACCUCUGCCCUUGCUGCCGUGCGAUGGCAGUAGAGAUUGCCUUCCUCUGCGUCUCCUUAGUUUAGGUUGCUGUCAGCCUUGAGGCAGCGUUGAUGAUGGGCGGCAGUGGGUUAAGGGAAGGCGACUUGCUCUGCAUGUAGGAUGUCAGGACAAUGACGGCUGCUGCUGGAUUGUGCUUCCAGCUGCCUUUUCUUUCGUUGACAGUGCUUUCUCUUUUAUGUGCAUGGUGUUGCCCUACUCACUAGGUUGCUGGAAGUACUUAUUGAUUGCAGAUGGCAUGUUAUGUACUGGUUUGUGGUUUAUUGGGAGAGUACUAUAUGGUACUAUUAGUUUUGAGAGCGAUUGGAAAAUAGGUACCACCUUUGUGGUUGUGAUGUAGUUUGAAACUAGAGUAAACUCUAUCAUUUUGGUUUUCUUCAAGUGUUGAGUCCUGUGUUAUAUUCUUCGAAAUGGUUAGAUCUAUAGGAGUCAUUUUCUGUACUUUUUCUAUCGCAUUGUUGUUGGUUUUGUGGUUUUCUGCCGAUGAGUGAAGUUGUUGCUCUAAAAUAGGUAUGUUCUGCACAUUGGUAGGUUCAUUAGUGCUACACAGGUAAGAUGCAUGAUAGCUUGAGAUUAGCUUAUCUAGUUUUAUGAUUUGACUUCAACUACACACAACAGUUGAGGUUGAAACAUAAAAUGUAGCCAACAUGUAUUUGCUGCUUUGUUCUGAAUUAUUCCUAUGCUUAUCACUGGUUUUAUUUCUUUGUUAUGAAUUAUUCCAGUGUUUAGCACUGUAUGUUUACAAUAUACAAAAUAAAAUCAAUUUACUGUAGCCAACAUUCACAUCUGUUUUGGAGUUAAACUCUUAGUUGUGUUUUUGGAAAUAAUAUGGAGAUUACCAUCUGGAAGUUAAACUUUUAGUUGUGAUUUUUAUCCACUGCUGCUAGUUAUUUAAACUAUUAAUAUCCUGGUACUUAGUAAAUAUGUUACUAUUUUUUUGAAUCAUUUCUGAUUAUCAUACAUAUGAACAUAUGAAUUCCCCAUGUGCUAUGAAAGGAUCAAUCUUCUCAUGUCCUGUGUCUACACUAGAUUACUUGUACUGAGAUGAUAUUUCCGGUACCAAAUUGUUCCUUCAGGUAGCAGUAGUAACAUAGCCACCCUCUCGUUCUCUUUGCAUCUUUGAAGGCUCUCUCUGGACUCUUUUUACAUGUUCUCUUCAUUGCUUUAAGCAUCGUAGCAUAAAUCUAGCUACUUGUUGGUAUUGAGUAUUGACCUAUUCUUGAUUUAUCUGCCUUGCCUGCUUUCAAUGCUCAGAUUAAGUCAGCCCGAGGUCAUGAGCUGAGCUGGCACCCUCUUUUGAUAUCACAGUUAGAACAUAUAUUGCUCAUGUCUUGUUGUUGCACAUGUAACUCAAUCCGAUUCAUUCAUUUUUUCCUUUUGCUGACAUUUCUCAUUGAUUUCUUCUAGUUCAUCACACCUAAGGUUUAGGCAUGCAAUCACACAUGUAGUUGAUACUACCGGAUUUUGAUUUGUAGUUGAUACUAGCUGCUGGAUAAUGUUUACUCUACUGAAAAAUAUCUCCUCUUGAUUACUAUUUGAUACUAGAUGCCUUUAACUCUUGCGUCCAAUGAGGAAUCAAUGACCAAAUGCAUCUCACCAUGGCCGCUGUUGUGCAACAUCUCCAGGUUGUGCAUGCAAGAAUCAAGAACCAUCGACAGGAGGAGCUGUGGUUGGCGUACCUCUACCUUGAGGAGGAAGGAUGAAUCGACCCGGUUCUUGUGCUGCAUCGCAAGUGGUACUGGUGUGGCACCCUUGCUGCCAAGGGUCACCAUCGAUGCUCCGGUCACUGACUGCAACGACGCUGCUUGUGUCACCGGAGAGGAGAACGCCGUCUUUUCCACAGCUGCCACAUCGUAUCGCUGUUUGAACGGGGACGACCAUGACAUCGUCAAGAAGAAUUUGAUGGUUCAGUUUGUUUGGAUGAAUAUGGUGCCAUGCAGCUGAUGAGAUACGAGUUUAUAGCUUCGGAGAAUGGUGGUACAUGCAGUGGCAGUGAUGGGCGUCAGCGAUUGGUUCAUGUCCGACAACAACUUGCUCUUACUCAGCUCAGACGAUGCUGGGUCUAUCUAGUGCAGCUAGUUGUUGGAGCAGAAUGGAGGCACUAGGUUCUGGUUUAAAAUCACCAUGUUUAAUUAGUGCGUCAGCCACAGGCAGAAGGUGAUAUCUUAAUUGCGGUGCUGGAGCAUGUGAAGGUGCAGCUGGCAUCCCAUCCAUGUGAAGAGGGAGGACAUAGACGGGAUGCUGGACUGGGUGAGGGUGCUCGCCUAGAGUGUCUCGGAAGAAGGCGCCAUGGCCGCUGGAUUGGCGGAUCGGUACUUCUGGCAGUGCGGGAGGCGGUGGCUAGGAAGAGGGUUCGGCACGCAUCGACGAAUGGCCAGUUCUUGCAGGACCAACUCGAUGAGAAGAUUUUCUAAUGUAUUUUCAUGGUAGAUAUUGUUGAGAAAAUUCUGACCAUGGUAGAGGCUGCUGAUGGAUCAUGGUGGAACCUGAUAAUAUCGACACAUGUUUCCAGAGGUUGGCAGUGAGCUAUACUCAUGAUCAUCUAGCCGUCGAGCCUCGUUUGAGCAUUGGUAGCCGGAUGAGAUGCUAGAUGGAGCAGUCUGCGGGUUGCCAUGGCGCUCAUGUAGGGGAUGCUCAUUUUGCCAAGCCGGCCAGACUUGCUCUUUAACUUGAUGGAUGUUAUGUGAUGUUGGUCAAGCUAGAUGUGUGUUCAUCGUCAGCUCUCCAAGGCUAUUUUUGAUGUAUGGUAUUUUGAGAUGGACAUGGUAGUAGCUAGCUAUUGGUUGGUGUCGUGUUGUGUUCUUUUUUUUAAUAACAAUCGUGUUUUGUUCUUGCGGCAACCUCGAGUCAAUACUUGGAUCUGAUCGGUCGAUGUGUAGGAAGCUAGCUAGCUUAUGCAUGGUGGGUUCAUACGAAGGGUAUGUGUGGUAGAUUAACACACAUGAAUGCAAAUCACCAGAAUGACAAGCAGAACGCGGUAGCUAACAUGUAUGUUGGCUUGUGUAUUCAUAUAUAUACAGAAAUAAAUCUAGAAUUUCAGUUUGCUGUUCUA